AAGAAUGGAAUAUAUUUGAUCCCUGAUUAAUACAAAAUCAAUGAAUUAAAAUUAAGAAUAAAAUAUAUUUGAUCCCUAGUUAGUACAAAAUCAAUGCAAAAUAAUAUCAAGUUUUUUUUAUGUUUUUUUUUUUUUUUGUGUGCUGAAGGGGAUCAGAUCAACUAUAUAAAGAGGCUAAAAGUUAACAUUUUACUCUCAUCUCUUUACUUAAGAUUAAAGUUCUCCAUCACACUAAAAAUUUCGAAAGAGAAUUGAAAUUAAGCUAUAUAUUUUUAACAAAUGGCCGCUGGAAAGACGUUUGUGUUCAUGCUAGUGCUACUAGUCAUUUGUUCAUGUGGUGCAAGUGCUAUAAGUUUAAGAUCUGACAAAAUGAUAUCUCUUCAACAUAUUGGAACAAAUGAUAGAACUGGAUGUUUCGAAUUUCCCAAUUGUACACCCGGUAAAUGUCGGGAAACUUGUGGUGGACCGAACUUCGGGAAAGGGUCGGACUGCAGGGGCGAUUCAGCCUCUGCUUUGUGUUGUUGUUUACAUUAAUUUGUACUCCGAUCGUUGGUUACAAUUACCAACGCUUUUUCAAAUAAUACUUGGUAUUCCAAAUUUAUGAAUAUCUUGCAGUUUCCUGUGAUUUAUUAACAGACUACCUUUAUUUCA